CCUGCAUAGGCGCCAAACACCAGGCACCUGGUUUGGGGGACCCGGACGAUCGCCAGCUCUCGCCGAGCUCUGGCUGCGGGCUGCCGGGAGCGAGCGGCUGUCACCGCCACCGCCACCGCGGAGCUACGCGAGCGGCUCGGACCCAUGCAGGGGCUGGCUUUCCUGUUAUGCCCAGACCACAUGCAGUGAAAAUUGAGCAGAGCCCCAUCUGCAAGUGACUCCUACAUUGCUGAGAAAACUAUGACUUGAACAGAUUGGAGGCUUCACCUUCAGGAGCAGAACUUCACCAUAAUAUUGGAAGUGAAAGUCUUUUAACUGAGGGAGGAAAAUGAUGGAGCCGUUGAAGUUGUGCUCAUGGUAUAAAGUCUUCCAUGGUCUCUUCCUGCAUAACCAAUUACAGCUGGCUCUGUAAGACCAUUCUUUAGAUAUCUUAGGUCCAGAGGCUUAGAAUAACAACUCAGAGGCCAGGGGGUCCAACUUUGGUCAGAUGAGUAGGUGACAUAGAGAAAAAAGUCCUUCCUGUAAUGACAGAGGAGAUUUUAAUUUUAAACCAGCACAUGGCUACUGAGUGGCAGUGGCCCUCUUGGUAGCUAUUAAAACCUUAUAAUAAUUUUGUGUUGGGGCUAGCAGAGGCUAAAGGUACAUGAAAGAUUAUAGGGCUUUUCUCAUAUAAAUUUAUUUAUUUCUUCAACAAGUUUUAAAUGUUCUAAUUUCUGGGGAAAUAACCUUGAAAAACAAUCUCUGACUGUAGAGAUUAGAGUUGAGGGUAUAUAAAUCUCUAAUCAAAUAAACGUGCCCUAUAUAUUGAUUGAAGGAAUGACAGGUGAAAUAGAGAAUCUGAUUUCACACAGUACCCAGGCUGCAAACCUCGACCCAAGUUGGGAGCAUGAGGGUGGGAGUCCAAGAGUAGACUUCCUGGUGUCUGAAUUGAGACUUAAGGGUCAGUAGGAGUUGGCAGAUGAAGGGAGCACAGGAAGAGUACUCAGAUUAAUGUGACAAGAUGAGAAGAGAAAAUUUCAAGAAAAUUUCAGUACGAUUCAAGUGUAAACAGUUGCAUAGGUAUGUGGUGGUAGCUCAGUAUGGUUUUAAUUUGCAUUUUCCUAAUGACUAAUGAUAGAUUCUGUUCAAAACUUUUGUUCAUUUUUAAAUGAUUUUUUACUUUCAUAUUAUUAUUUUGAAGGAGUUCUUUGUUUGUCCUAGAUAUAAAAUAUUUGUCAUAUAUGUGAUUUCUGAAUAUUUCCUCCCUGUCUGUGGCUCGUCUUCAUUCUUUCAGUUGUCUCUUUCACCAAGCAAAUGUUUCUAAGUUUGAUGGAGUUCAAAUUAUCAACUUUUUCUUUUAGGGAUCACACUUUUGUUAUCGAAGGACCAUUCUGACUAACAAAAAUUACAAAGAGUUCUACUUAUGUUUUGUUUUAUAAGUUUUAUAGUUUCACAUUUUACACUUAUGUCUUUGGUCCAUUUUGAAUUAUUAUCAUUUUUUAGGUCUGAUGUAUGGGUCAUGCUUUUUUAUAUUUGUUUUACUAUUUAUUUUUUUGCAUAUGGAUGUCCAGUUAUUCUAGCACCAUUAUUCAAAAGUAACCUUUCAUUAAUAAACUGCUUUCUCAACUUUUUGGCCAUAUUUGUAGGGUUUUGUUUCUGAAUUCUUUAAUUUGAACUACUAAAUUAUGUGCCUUUUUUUGUCAAUACUACAGUGUAUUGAUAGUAUAGAUUUAUACCAUCCUGAAAUCUGUUCUUUCUCAAAAUAAUCUUGGCUAUUUUCAUCUUUUGUAUGGUUUUAAUUUGCACUUUCCUAAUAUAAACUUUAGAAUGUUUGUCAAUAUCUACAAACAUUUAUACUAGAAUUUUGAUUGAGAUUAUAUUAAAUCUAUAGAUCAAUUUUGGAAAAAUUGACAUUUUAACAAUCUCCCAAUUUCUUGAAAUUUUACAACCAAUAAACUUAGUAUAUCUCUGCAUUUAUUUAAAUUUUCUUUUACAUUGUGAGUAGUUAAAGUUUUCAGUGCAUAGAUUCAAUGCACAUUUUGUUAGAUGCACACCUAAGAAUUUCAUUUUGAAGGGACUAUUAUAAAAUACAUUGAUAUAAUCUUUGAAGUUUAUUUCAAAUUAAAAUGUACUUGGAUUCCCCCCUCCCCAGUAUUGGGGAUUAAACCCAGUAGUUCUCCAUCAUGGAGCUUCAUCCCCAGCUCUUUUUAUUUUUUAUUUUGAGACAGGGUCUUGCUAAGUUGCCCAGGCUGACCUCAAACCUGUGUUCCUCCUGCCUCAGUCUCAUGAGCAGUUGGCAUUAUAGGUGUGGGUCACUGUGUCCCAUUUGGAAUUUGCUUUAAUCCUUCUGGUAUAGUCAUACAGGCACAUAGACCCAAAAAUGAUUGUCAUCAAAGAAGAAUUUCAUAACUCAAAGAUCCCUAGAAACACAGAGAAACAGCCAGGCCCAUCAGGAUACAAAACGGACCAGGGGAGAGCAUGGCACAGAGUCUUUAUUUUGUUUUCUGUGGGAAGAAAUGGGUAAGUUAGGAUAAGCAAAUUUAAGCAAGUUUAGGAUCUGAUAGUUGAAUCAUUUCAGUGGCUCUGGGCCAUUGGAUAUUCUCCAGUUGUUCAUGCUUGGCCCUCGUUUGGCUUAGGCAGGAGAAACAUUGGCUUGGUACAUGAGCCUUAGAUAAAGGAGGUGACUGCAGGUCUGACUAGGGACUGGUUUGAUUUGCACAUAAAGGCAGGGCUCAUAGACAAGUUAUUUGUAAUUAACUAGGUCUAGGAGGGGCAGUGUCCCCCUACAGCUAACAGGGGCCCCAUCAUGUCAAAGCAUCAUAAAAUGCGGGAAAGAAGAAGUAAGAUUAAUGACUUGUUCAUUGCUAGGCUAGAAAAAAAAAUUGGUACAGGUAUGUGUUUAUAUCUUGUAUCCUGUGCUUUGCUUAACUCAUUUUAAUAUACAAAAUUAUGUUGCCUGUGAAUGGAGAAUCUUUACUUCUUGCUUUCUGACUGUAUGCCUUUUGUUUAUCUGACCUCAUCUAACUUGCUAUCCUUUCAUUUCUUGAACAUAUUUUUUAUUUUGUUUAUUAAUUAAAUAAUUUAUUAUUGUGCUUCUAAUUAUGAUAGGCAGGGUCACUGUGAUUAACACUUAUUCUUAAAGAGCAUAUAAUCUUGUGAUCAAUUAAGUGUAAUUAAAAUAUCGUGUAGACACUGA